rnacentral:rRNA from 1 species
GAGUUUGAUCGUGGCUCAGGAUGAACGCUAGCGACAGGCUUAACACAUGCAAGUCGAGGGGCAGCGGGGGUGCAGGCUUGCCUGCACCUGCCGGCGACCGGCGCACGGGUGAGUAACACGUAUGGAACCUGCCCGCCACAGGGGGAUAACCCGGGGAAACCGGCCUAAUACCCCAUGCCGCCCGGACCGGGCAUCCGGACCGGGCGAAAGGAGGAAUCCGGUGGCGGCUGGGCAUGCGGCGCAUUAGCUUGACGGCGGGGUAACGGCCCACCGUGGCGACGAUGCGUAGGGGUUCUGAGAGGAAGGCCCCCCACACUGGAACUGAGACACGGGUCCAGACUCCUACGGGAGGCAGCAGUGAGGAAUAUUGGUCAAUGGGCGGAAGCCUGAACCAGCCAAGUCGCGUGAGGGAAUAAGGCCCUACGGUCGUAAACCUCUUUGCCGGGAGCAAGGGCCGGGACGAGUCCCGGCCCGGAGAGUACCCGGAGAAAAAGCAUCGGCUAAC